GGCCGCGGGGGUUCGAUUCAGGCCUAACACAUGCAAGUCGAGCGGGGUUUUCGGACCUAGCGGCGGACGGGUGAGUAAUGCGUAGGAAGCUACCCGAUAGAGGGGGAUACCAGUUGGAAACGACUGUUAAUACCGCAUAAUGUCUACGGACCAAAGUGUGGGACCUUCGGGCCACAUGCUAUCGGAUGCGCCUACGUGGGAUUAGCUAGUUGGUGAGGUAAUGGCUCACCAAGGCGACGAUCUCUAGCUGGUUUGAGAGGAUGAUCAGCCACACUGGAACUGAGACACGGUCCAGACUCCUACGGGAGGCAGCAGUGGGGAAUAUUGGACAAUGGGCGCAAGCCUGAUCCAUACAGGCCGCGUGUGUGAAGAAGGCCUUCGGGUGUACAUUUAUGGAGCGAGGAGGAAGGGUUGUGUGUUAAUA
rnacentral:rRNA from 1 species